rnacentral:rRNA from 1 species
CCCUUAGAUGUUCUGGGCCGCACGCGCGCUACACUGAUGCAUUCAACAAGUCUAAAACCUGCUCUGAUAGGGGUGGGUAAUCUUUUGAAUGUGCAUCGUGAUUGGGAUAGAUGAUUGCAAUUUUUCAUCUUCAACGAGGAAUGCCUAGUAAACGCAAGUCAUCAGCUUGCAUUGAUUACGUCCCUGCCCUUUGUACACACCGCCCGUCGCUCCUACCGAUUGAAUGAUCCGAUGAAUAUCAUGGAUUGAGGAUGCAAGUAGGUUAGCCUAUCUUCAUCUUCGAGAAGUGAAGUAAAUCUUAUCAUUUAGAGGAAGGAGAAGUCGUAACA